AGCUGGUGUUAGUUUUUUCAGCAGAGCUGAACAAUUUUCGUAAAAUGAAAGGGAUUCUUAUUACUCUUUUAUUAAUAACCCUACUUGCUUUUGUAACGGGCUUAGAUGAUUACUGCAAACCCCUUAUUGAGCCUAGGAGGAAAUGCAAACCUUCUGAUCCCGUUCGCCGAGGAUUUACAUAUGACGAAUCAACAAAUAAAUGUGAAAAAAAAGAAAUAUGUACGCUAAGAACUCAAGGCAACAAUUUUUACAAGGAUAUCGCUGCAUGCGAAGCAAAGUGCAAGAAAUAACAAACCAUCGUAAACAGUCAGGCUUAAAAUAAAUUAAGUUAUCCUGUUCAGAAAAAAAUGUUAACUACACCCAAAGAAAAUACACUGAAAGUUUAGUUUUAAAACGUGUGCCUGGUAAAUAAACAACAUACAGUACUAAAGUAUAAGUAUUAAUUAUUCAAUUCUAAAUAACAUAAACCAUUUAUUUUUAUGUUUUAUUUCUAUACCGAAGUAGAACUAUAGUCUACGGGGUGAGUUUUAAGCCAUAUACAUUUUAUUUUGAUACUUUUGUGCUUUUAAUUUAGCACUCAUCUUGUUAAGAAAUUUUUCAAACCAAAUAUCAGUUUCUAAGACAGUUUUGUUUUGGGUGUAGUUGCCAUUCUAAAUUAUUAUUCUAAAUUAAUUGUUUAUCUCAAAAGCGAGUAUUAUUGUUUUGAGAUUUCUUAUAAAUUCGUCAAAAAAUGUUACAUACAUUCUUAAGAAACACUAAAAGUGGGCUUAUAUAAGAACUAAUCAUAAUUUUGCAGAAUCAAUUAACGUAAUGACUAGAACCAAUUUUAUUAGCAACGGUUCUGCAAAAAGUUCUAUAAAAACCUCUCACCCAUAUGUGCUGUGUGUUAGUCUUUUCGCCUGAGCUGAAGGAAUUCAAUAGUUCUCGUAAAAUGAAAUCGAUGUUCAUUACCCUUUUAUUAAUAACACUGCUUGCUUUUGUUACUGGCCAAAUAAAAAGCGACUGCACUCCACGUAGAGUGUUCUUUUUGAGAUGCGAUAAGGAUUUUACUCCAGGAUUCACAUAUAGACAGCAAACAAAUCAAUGUGUAAAAAUUAAUACAUGUAUACAUACACAUAUUACAAACAAUUUUUACAAGGAUAUCGCUGCAUGCGAAGCAAAGUGCAAGAAAUAACAAACCAUUGUAAGCAGUCUGGCUUUAAGUAAAUUAAGUUAUCCUGUUCAGAAAAAAAUGUUAACUACACCCAAAACAAACACUGAAAGUUUAUUUUAAAGACGUGCGUCUUGAAAAUAAACAAUAGAAAGUACCUAAGUAUAAGUAUUAAUUAUUCAAUUCUAAAUAACAUAAACCAUAUUAACUAUAGUCUACGGUUUGAGCUUGCAAUUCUAAGCAAAAUGCAAUACAUAACAAACUGUUGUAAAUAAUUCGAGUUAGGAGUAAAAUAAAUCUAGUAAUCUUUACUAAAGUUUAUAAAACCGUUGUCUUAAGUUUUAUUUUUAAGCCGCAUAAAUUUUGUUUUGAUAAUUUUGUGCUUGGUCGAAAUUUUGCAGAGUCAAUAAACGUAUUUUUAUGUUAUUAA